rnacentral:lncRNA from 1 species
CAACUGCUCCGAUACGGCUCGUCGUUAUUGUUACACUAGUAUAGUCAUAAAGAAGACGUGAGAUCCACAAGACUGAACUAGGUCAAUUGAGGUUGAAUCAAUACAACUCUUGCGUGUUAUUACUUUCUGUCUUUUACUAUAUAUUUGAUUCUUGUACUAUAGUAAAACCCCGAUCAAAUAUUUAUAUCUUCCAGUAGAAAGGUCUUCCUGUUAUCAAGCAUCUGACAAAGGUUACUUUUUAGCUACAAUUAAAUAUUAUUUGAUCCCUCAUCCUGUUAUCAGGUUUAUGAAUGAGGUUACCUUUUAAGUCAUUUAAAUAUUACGCAGAUCUCUCUUCCUAUUAUCAGAUAUCAUACAGAGGUUAUUAUUAUAAGUUUAUCAUUUUCAUCUAUAUGCUCAUAUCUAUUUAAGUGUACAGGCUAUAUCAAAAAUUUCUGAUACGACUUUAAUGGUAAUUAAUUAAUAAAAAUGCAAUUAAAUAAGGAUUUAUUUAUUUAUUUAUUUAUUUAUUAAUCCUUAGAUUUUAUAGACGAUAUAUAAAGAUCUUGAGUCUUGAUAAACCACAACUUAUUUAACAGACAAUUAUAGAUAUUUAAUAUAUUUAAAAUAAAGUUUUUAACUUUAAUCUUACUAAGUAUUAAAUGGUUUCUGGUUUUCGCAGCCGAGAUUGCUUCCAUAACUUACUUGGAAAAUAUCACAGUACCUCUUGUAGAACCCAAUCCUGUCAAUAAUCUCAGGAUUGGUUCCUUUGCCACACUCAAGUCCUCCAUUGAUAAUGUUGGUGAUCACACCAUACCCUGAUAGUCUGUU